AACGGCCAUACCAUGCUGAAUAUACCGGUUCUCGUUAGAUCACCGAAGUCAAGCAUCAUUGGGCGUGGUCAGUACUUGGGUGGGUGACCACCUGGGAACACCGCGUGCCGCUG